UGAGGAUGUCUACUUUGAUGAUGAAUCUGCCGAAGUAGUUAUUUCUUCUCUGCGUUUGGGAGAUAACCAGGAGAGGUUAGCCCUUCUUGUUCUUCCUUGCUGUAUCUUCUAUUGGAAUUUGAAUUUUCAUAGGCGAGUGUCUAUUUGCAUUCUGGCUUAAUGUUGAUUUUAGUUGGUCAUCUUCUCUUUUUUGUUCCUGGCUUUUUCCCCUGCCUGUACGUGGAUCAGCUUAUCCAUGUAGAGUUUAGACAUCACCCUUCUAUAGACUUGCUUUGUUUGUUUUCCAUUUGCUUGGUCCUCAUAUCACUCUCAUAGAAUGAGAAGAAUCUGUGGAAUUUAUGAUUUGUGUAAAGAGUUGUGAGGAUGGUGGUUUGAUUUAAUGAUUUACAUGGUACUUAUUGCUUGAUCUAUAUCUGUGGUGCUUGC
rnacentral:misc_RNA from 1 species